rnacentral:rRNA from 1 species
UACGUAGGUGGCAAGCGUUUGUCCGGAUUUACUGGGCGUAAAGAGCGCGCAGGCGGUCGUUCAAGUCGCGUGUGAAAGCCCCCGGCUCAACUGGGGAGGGUCACGCGAUACUGAUCGACUCGAAGGCAGGAGAGGGUAGUGGAAUUCCCGGUGUAGUGGUGAAAUGCGUAGAUAUCGGGAGGAACACCAGUGGCGAAGGCGACUACCUGGCCUGUUUCUUGACGCUGAGGCGCGAAAGCUAGGGGAGCAAACGGG